rnacentral:lncRNA from 1 species
CUUCACCAGCGUCAGCCUCGCCGCCGAACCCGGACUAAUCGCUCCGUGCUCAGAUCCGGUGACCCAAUCCAGAGCGAGAACAUCGCAGCACGCUGGGCGGACGUUGUCCUUGACGACCGAGAGGUGGGAAGGGUGAUCGGAAUAUGCGACGAGGUCGGUCUUCGUAGGAUACCGGCCGUGGAGGACGUAAGUGAACGGCUCUGCGGCAGAGGAUCGAUGGCGCAGAACGGAUUCUACAGUAAGAUGGGUGACGUUUGGGAGGGAACUGAGAGAGCGG